GAUGAAGAACGCAGCGAAAUGCGAUAAGUAAUGUGAAUUGCAGAAUUCAGUGAAUCAUCGAAUCUUUGAACGCACAUUGCGCCCGCCAGUAUUCUGGCGGGCAUGCCUGUUCGAGCGUCAUUUCAACCAUCAAGCCCCAGGCUUGUGUUGGAGCCCUGCGGCUGCCGCAGCCUCCCAAAACCAGUGGCGGGCUCGCUAUCACACCGAGUGCAGUAGUUUACUCUUCGCUCAGGGCGUGUGGCGGGUGCUAGCCGUAAAACCCCCAACUUCUCAAGGUUGACCUCGGAUCAGGUAGGAAUACCCGCUGAACUUAAGCAUAUCAAAGCGGAGGA
rnacentral:misc_RNA from 1 species